GCAAGGCCCGUGGGGCAGUGGCUCAUCCCUUUCCAGCUCAUCUUGUGCCCUUUUGAGGCUGAGGCCUGAAGAGGGGACCACUCUCUUCCCAAUCUCAGAAAAAAACAGCAAGAAGGGAAAAGGCCAUCGCCAUUCAGCUGGAGGAUCCGAGGACUGAAAGGAGAGUAGAGGAGAGUAACAGGAGGGCCUUGCCUUCUACCUAGAGACUGGGGAGUGCGCCAGGCGGCCGUUCCUGGGGCCUGGUGUCUAGAACCCUGAGCGCAAUCCUCUGGCAGGCAGGCUCCCCCCGGCGGGUGGCUUACCUGGCAGGCAGCUGGGCCAGCUGUUCCAGUUCUUGCUCCAUAUGCUCCUGCAACUCACUGGGCCUUAGCAGGACCUGGCAGAUGGGGCAAAUAGGGGCCUGGCUGUCAAACAAUGCUGCUGCCUUUUUCUUACCUGGGGAGGGAAGAAGAAGAGACAGACAGAUAAGCUGGGCUAGUCUGUGGAUGGAAACCCAGCGUCCCGAUCCUGCAAUCCAAGCCUGCUGCGUCCCAGGGCUUCCUGGCCUAGAGGAGGGUUGAGCCCGAGGGUCUUGGAGACCCUGACCAUUCACUCUACUUUGUGGCUCGGAGCCGCAAAUGCCACCUCCUCAGCUGUCUGCUCCUCUGGGAAAUCUAUCGGGACACAGUGAAUGCUCCGUGCAAUCCAACCUGGAUCGCUUCAUUUCAUACAGAUGCUCAGAGGACAGCUGGAAGGCAGCUCUGAGUAAAAGAAGCAGAUGUGGCCUGGUCUGGAAGAUGGGAGAUGAAGAUUCUAGUCUCAGCUCCGCCUCAAACUUCAUUUAGCCAGGGACUCUCCAAGGCCUGGGAGUGGGCAUCCUGGCCCAUCUCUUCCACGGGUCCCAGAACCUGAGAGUCCUCCUCAGGCUGGAGAGGCUUCUGGGAAGCCCUAGUUCAGCUGCCCAUCCACGUAGGAGGCGCUUCUCCAACGCCAACGCCAGCCUCAUAGGUACCCCGGCAGGAGCACCAGGCGCCCCGGCAGGAGCACCGAGCACCCCGAGCAGGAGCACCCGGCGCCCCAGGAGGAGCACCGGGCACCCCGGGAGGAGCACCAGGCACCCCCAGGAGGAGCACUGGGUACCCCGAGGAAGAGGAGCACCAGCUACCCCGAGGAGGAGGAGCAUUGGGUACCCGCGUGCAAGAGGACCAGACCACAAGAGGCAGGGCUUGACCACCAGGUGUCUGAUUUAAGAAAGAAGCAGGAAGGUUAACACGAGGGCGAAGGUACUGCUAAUGACACAUGGCGAUGGAAGCUGGCCCCUUUAAGAGAAGGAGGAAGAGCUGCAGGCUUGGUGAGGAAGAAAAUGAGUUCAGGUUUGGACGAUGUGCUUAGUUGGAGGAGCUGUUAAGACAUCCAUGUGAAAAUGCUUUCUAGGCACUCUACGGGAGCCAGAGCCAGAGUUCCAGAGCUGGAGACAUUGACACGUAGAAAACCAUGAUUGGUGCCUCUGGUGAGUGUGGGGCAGGAAGAGUUAACAUGCUGACAGAUGGCAUUUUUUACCUUCAGUCAAUAUGAACAAGGCCCCAAGACUAUGAUUCCAAACAUCUGGAUUUCAUCAAUAUGUGAUCUGUCAUCGUAUAUUGGCAUUCCCCAGUCCCCGCGCCAGAGCAAUGCGGCUGGUUUUAUUAAUACGUCAAAUACAUUAUCCGUGUAAUACA